rnacentral:rRNA from 1 species
GUAACAAGGGUUCCGUAGGUGAACCUGCGGAAGGAUCAUUGUCGAAACCUGCCUAGCAGAACGCCCCGUGAACACGUUGAAACACACGCCGGGGGCAGUGGAGGGCGCCCUGCCCUUCGCUUCCCGGCAAGCCCGUGGGGAGGGGAGCGCCAGCUCCCUCCCUGGGCCCUCCUCAACCAACCCCGGCGCGGGACGCGCCAAGGACCCAGUGAACAAAGAGCACGCCCCCCGGCCCCGGAAACGGGGCGGCGGUUGCGUAUUCUUUUGCUACGAGCAAAAA